GACGAACGCUGGCGGCGUGCUUAACACAUGCAAGUCGAACGAAGUGGCGAACGGGUGAGUAACGCGUAAUCAACCUGCCCUUCAGAGGGGGACAACAGUUGGACACGACUGCUAAUACCGCAUACUGAAGGAGGGGAUUGCGUCUGAUUAGCUAGUUGGGGGGGUAACGGCCAACCAAGGCGAUGAUCAGUAGCCGGUCUGAGAGGGUAGACGGGCACAAGGGGAAUGAGAAACGGCCCAGACUCCCACGGGAGGCAGGAGUGGGGAAUCUUCCGCAAUGGACGAAAGUCUGACGGAGCAACGCCGCGUGAGUGAUGACGGCUUUCGGGUUGUAAAGCUCUGUUAAUCGGGACGCGGUACCGGAAUAGAAAGCCACGGCUAACUACGUGCCAGCAGCCGCGGUAAUAC
rnacentral:rRNA from 1 species